rnacentral:rRNA from 1 species
UACGAAGGGGGCUAGCGUUGCUCGGAAUCACUGGGCGUAAAGGGUGCGUAGGCGGGUCUUUAAGUCAGGGGCGAAAUCCUGGAGCUCAACUCCAGAACUGCCUUUGAUACUGAAGAUCUUGAGUUCGGGAGAGGUGAGUGGAACUGCGAGUGUAGAGGUGAAAUUCGUAGAUAUUCGCAAGAACACCAGUGGCGAAGGCGGCUUGCUGGGCAUGAUCUGACGCUGAGGCGCGAAAGCGUGGGGAGCAAACAGG